AACGAACGCUGGCGGCAGGCCUAACACAUGCAAGUCGAGCGAGGACACCGGUCCUAGCGGCGGAUGGGUGAGUAACGCGUGGGAACGUUCCCUUUUCUUCGGAAUAGCCCUGGGAAACUGGGAGUAAUACCGGAUGAGCCCUUCUGGGGAAAGAUUUAUCGGCGAAGGAUCGGCCCGCGUUGGAUUAGGUGGUUGGUGGGGUAAUGGCCGAUCAGGCCGACGAUUCAUAGAUGGUUAGAGAGGCAGGUCAGCGACUCUGAGAAGAGGACACGGCCCAGAAUCCUACGGAAGGGGGGAAUGGCGGAUCUAGGAAAAUGGGGUGAGUCCUGAACGAGCCAGGCCGGGAGAGCGAUGUAGGCCUUAAAGUUGUAAAGCUCUUUCAGCUGGGAAGAUAAUGACGGUACCCGCAGAAGAAGCCCCGGCUAACUCCGUG
rnacentral:rRNA from 1 species